AAAUGUAAGAGAGAGUGCCCUUGGGUUUCCGGGCCGAGAAAGCAUAGGAAAACGCUGCGUUUUGGCCAAGUCAGGUGAAGAAGCUACGCUGUCUACCUCGCCUCGCGUGCGUGGCUUCUUCUAAUUUCUCCUCUCGUCUUCACCUUCUUCUUCCUCUUCCUUCUUCUCCUCUGCGUUAGGUUUUUCCAUUCUCACACUUCACAUCGUUUUUUUCCCUCUUCUCAUUCUUCUUCUCCACUCUCACUCUCUUCUCCCAAGCCUCUAUUUCUCUCAUCCAUUUGCGAUUUAUGCAAUUCCUCGCGCGAUAAGAUACUUUUCGUGCUUGCGUUUUGAUUUCCGCGAUGGCCUCCAAAGGUCCCAGGUCUAAGAUUGAUCAUGAGAGCAGAGCCAAACGGCAAAAGGCUCUUGAAGCUCCAAGGGAGCCUCGCAGACCGAAAACUCAUUGGGACCAUGUCUUAGAAGAAAUGGUGUGGUUAUCAAAGGAUUUUGAAUCAGAGAGGAAAUGGAAAUUAGCUCAGGCAAAGAAAGUAGCUUUAAGAGCCAGCAAAGGCAUGAUAGAUCAGGCUACAAGGGGUGAAAAGAAGAUGAAGGAAGAAGAACAGCGAUUAAGAAAGGUUGCACUAAAUAUUUCUAAGGAUGUUAAGAAAUUCUGGACAAAAAUAGAAAAGCUGGUUCUUUACAAACAUCAAAUGGAACUUGAUGAAAAGAAGAAAAAGGCACUUGACAAACAGCUUGAGUUUUUAUUAGGGCAAACAGAGAGGUACUCAACAAUGCUGGCGGAAAAUCUUGUGGAUGCUCAUAAAUCAGGAGAGAAUAAUUCUGCAGAGCAUCACAUGAGUAUUCAACGCAAAGAUGCGCAUGGAGAUGUUAUUAAUGAACCUAAAGAAGCUGAUGUUGUGGAGUAUCAAUCAGAUGCUGCCGACAAUGAUGAUGAAUAUGAUGUACAAUCUGAUGAUGAAUCGGAGGACGACGAGCAAACAAUUGAGCAAGAUGAGGCUUUGAUUACUAAAGAAGAGAGACAAGAGGAAUUGGAAGCUUUGCAAAAUGAAAUGAAUCUUCCGAUUGAGGAGUUACUCAAGCGUUAUGCAGGGGAGAAAGGAGAAUCUAUGAUGAAAGAAAGUAGUCCAGAGCAUAGUGAAGAUGUUGAGAAAAUAGUAGGAACAACUGGUGAUGGUAAGAAAAUAUUACCAUCAGAAAAUGGUGAUGAUCAUUUAUCUGUUAGCAAAAAUGGUACAAACAACUCCAGUAUGGUCUCUGGUCGACGUUGUGAUGAAAGUGAUGGUGAUAUGGCUACACCAACAAAAAAUCUAUCUCAAUAUGAGGAAGGUCAAUCUGAAAAUCUAAAAGAGGUUCCCAGUGAGACAGCCAAUGAAGAUUUUUCGUAUGAUUUUACUGAUGAAGAGGAAGAUGGUGACUUUUUGCUUGGCACAGAAGACAAGGAUGAUGAAACAACCUUAUCAGAGGAGGAAAAACUGGAAAGAGUUGAUGCAAUAGAUCCCAAGGAUGAGAUUGCAUUAUUACAAAAAGAGAGUGACAUGCCUGUUGAGGAACUGCUUGCAAGGUAUAAAAGGGACCCGAGUGACAACGAAGAUGGGGGAUAUGAAACUGAUUAUGCUUCUGCUUUAUCCGAAGACCAUUCAGACUCUCCUGUCCAUGAAGAUGCUGAGCAAAAGGAUUCUGCCAUUCCUAUGGAUGAAGAUAUAAAGUCUGGUGAACACCUGGCUACCACACAGUCCCAGACAGAAGAACAUUGGGAAUCACCUCAUGAAAAUUUGGAUCAAAGAGAAAGUGAGCAUAUAAUUGCUGAUGCAGCUGCUGCUGCAAGAUCAGCACAACCUACUGGAAACACCUUCUCCACAACUAAUGUGCGUACAAAGUUCCCUUUUCUUCUCAAGUACUCUCUUCGUGAGUAUCAACAUAUUGGAUUGGAUUGGCUUGUCACCAUGUAUGAAAAAAGACUGAAUGGAAUUUUGGCAGAUGAAAUGGGUCUUGGAAAAACAAUUAUGACUAUAUCUUUGCUUGCACAUCUUGCUUGUGAAAAGGGGAUUUGGGGUCCGCAUUUAAUUGUGGUACCAACUAGUGUAAUGCUUAACUGGGAGACCGAAUUUUUGAAAUGGUGUCCUGCCUUUAAAAUAUUGACUUAUUUUGGAAGUGCCAAGGAGCGAAAAUUUAAAAGGCAAGGAUGGUUGAAACCAAACUCAUUUCAUAUAUGCAUAACUACUUAUAGAUUAGUUAUUCAGGACUCCAAAGUUUUCAAGCGCAAAAAGUGGAAAUAUCUGAUCUUAGAUGAAGCUCAUCUCAUUAAAAACUGGAAGUCACAAAGGUGGCAGACACUCUUGAAUUUCAAUUCAAAAAGGCGGAUUCUCUUGACUGGGACACCACUACAGAACGAUCUCAUGGAACUGUGGUCUCUCAUGCAUUUCUUAAUGCCCCAUGUUUUCCAGUCACAUCAAGAGUUUAAGGAUUGGUUUAGUAAUCCUAUAUCAGGGAUGGUAGAGGGAGAAGAAAAAAUUAAUAAGGAGGUUGUUGACCGCCUGCACAAUGUCCUUCGUCCCUUUUUACUCCGUCGACUAAAGAGAGAUGUGGAAAAACAACUUCCAAUGAAGCAUGAACAUGUCAUAUAUUGUAGACUAUCAAAGAGGCAGCGGAAUUUGUAUGAGGAUUUCAUUGCUAGCUCAGAGACUCAAGCAACUCUUGCAAGUGCCAAUUUUUUUGGGAUGAUUAGUAUUAUCAUGCAACUUCGUAAAGUUUGCAAUCAUCCUGAUCUAUUUGAGGGUCGUCCUAUUGUCAGUUCGUUUGAUAUAUGUGGUAUUGAUGUUCAGUUAAGUUCUUCUGUUUGCUCUAUGCUUUUGCCUAGCCCCUUUUCAGUGGUGGACCUAAGAGGUUUGGGUCUUUUAUUUACUGAUCUUGACUAUAGUAUGACUGCAUGGGAAAGUGAUGAAGUUGGAGCUAUUGAGACCCCUGGAACCUCAAUCAUGGAGCGUACUGAUAUAGAUGAGCUAGAAGUAAUUAGGCCACUAAAUUGUCAAAAAAGGUUGCAAGGAACAAACAUUUUUGAAGACAUCCAAAGGAAAAUCUGGGAAGAGAGGCUAAAACAGGCAAAGGAACGUGCAACAGCUAUUGCAUGGUGGAACUCCUUGAGAUGUAAAAAGAGACCUAUGUACUCAACAACUCUGAGGAAUCUUGUUACCUUAAGGCAUCCUGUAUAUGACAUUCAUCUGGUGAAAGCAAAUCCUACUUCAUAUAUGUACUCAACAAAGCUGGCUGACAUUGUUCUCUCCCCCAUUGAACGAUUUCAAAAGAUGACUGAUGUGGUUGAAAGCUUCAUGUUUGCAAUUCCAGCUGCACGGGCACCCUCUCCUGUUUGCUGGUGCAGUAAAAGCGAGACAAAUGUGUUUCUGCAGCCAUCUUACAAGCAGAAAUGCUCUGAAGUUUUGUUGCCGCUACUGUCACCAAUCCGACCAGCAAUUGUUCGCCGACAAGUGUAUUUCCCUGAUAGGCGUCUUAUACAAUUUGACUGUGGGAAACUGCAGGAACUGGCAAAUUUGUUGAGAAAAUUAAAAUCAGAAGGCCACCGAGCUCUGAUAUUCACCCAGAUGACAAAGAUGCUUGACAUAUUAGAGGCAUUCAUUAACUUAUAUGGCUAUACAUACAUGCGCUUAGAUGGAUCAACCCAACCAGAGGAGAGACAGACCUUAAUGCAACGCUUUAACACAAACCCCAAAUAUUUUCUUUUCAUCUUGUCAACCCGUAGUGGUGGUGUUGGUAUCAAUCUAGUUGGAGCUGACACAGUUAUUUUUUAUGAUAGUGACUGGAAUCCUGCUAUGGAUCAACAGGCACAAGAUCGAUGCCAUAGAAUUGGUCAGACACGUGAAGUUCAUAUUUAUAGAUUGAUAAGUGAAAGCACCAUUGAGGAGAAUAUUUUGAAGAAAGCAAAUCAGAAGCGUGCACUUGAUAAUCUAGUUAUACAAAGUGGGAGUUAUAAUACUGAGUUCUUCAAGAAGCUUGAUCCUAUGGAACUAUUUUCAGGCCAUAGAACACUUUCAAUAAAAAAUAUGCUGAAGGAGAAAAACCAGAACAAUGGGGAAGUUUCUGUAACGAAUGCAGAUGUAGAGGCUGCACUGAAAUGUGUUGAAGAUGAGGCAGAUUACAUGGCUUUGAAGAAAGUUGAACUGGAAGAGGCUGUGGACAACCAGGAGUUUACCGAAGAAGCCAUUGGGAGACUUGAAGAGGAUGAAUAUGUAAAUGAAGAUGAUGAAACUGCAGAAUUAGGUGAAUCUGUUUCAAACUUAAAUAAAGAGAAUGCCUUGGUGUUAAAUGGAAGUGAUCAGAAGGAAGAUAGACCACCAAACUCUGUUGUUGUCAAAGAAGAUGAUGCUGAUGUGCUGGCUGAUGUCAAACAGAUGGCUGCAGCUGCAGCUGCAGCUGGACAAGCUAUCUCAGCAUUUGAAAAUGAGCUACGCCCUAUUGAUCGAUAUGCCAUUCGCUUUCUGGAACUGUGGGAUCCAAUUAUAGAUAAAACAGCUUUGGAAUCUGAAGUCAGGAUUGAGGACACGGAAUGGGAGUUGGAUCGGAUUGAAAAGUACAAGGAGGAGAUGGAGGCUGAAAUUGAUGAAGACGAGGAACCUCUUGUAUAUGAAAGCUGGGAUGCUGAUUUUGCAACAAUGGCAUAUCGACAGCAAGUAGAGGCCUUGGCUCAACAUCAGUUGAUGGAGGAACUUGAAUAUGAAGCUAGACUGAAAGAAGCUGAGGAAGAAGCUUGUGAUUCUAAAAAGACAACACCAGGGGAUUUGAAGCCCAAACCUAAAAAGAAACCUAAGAAGGCAAAGUUCAAAUCUCUAAAGAAAGGAUCUUUAACUUCUGGGUUGAAACCUGUGAAAGAAGAGUCACAAGCAGAGCCAAUGAACAUUGAUGAUGAGGAUAUCACUGGUCUGGAAUUUGUGUCUCCAAAUUCAUCCAUGCAGAAAAAACGUAAAUCUAAAGCAACGACUGAUGGUGAAGAAAAGAGACUUAAGAAGUCCAAAAAGUCCAAGAGGGAUCCUCCUGACAUUUAUGCGUCUGAUUUAGAAUCCAAUGCUUUGGUUGUGCAAUAUGAACAUGCAGAAUCAAAGACUAGUGAAAGUCUGGUUGAUUUGGAACAGAAAACAGCAGGCAGGGGUAAGAUGGGAGGAAAAAUAUCCAUCACUCCUAUGCCUGUAAAACGGAUCUGGACGAUAAAGCCAGAAAAAAUGAGAAAGGGAAAUCAUUGGUCCAAAGAUUGUAUUCCAUCAGCUGAUUUUUGGCUGGCUCAGGAGGAUGCUAUAUUAUGCGCUGUUGUUCAUGAAUAUGGUCCUAACUGGAGUUUGGUUAGUGAUAUUCUUAAUAGCAUGACUGCUGGUGGGUCAUACAGGGGGAGAUAUCGACAUCCUGUCCAUUGCUGUGAGCGGUUUAGAGAACUAUUCCAGAAGAAUGUAUUGUCAAUGGACAAUGCAAAUAAUGAGAAGGCCAUCACUCCUGGCUCUGGAAAGGCUCUUCUUAAAGUUACAGAGGAUAACAUACGGAUGCUGUUAGAUGUUGCUUCUGAGCAGGCAAAUAGGGAGUUGCUGCUGCAGAAGCACUUUUUUGCAUUGCUUUCAUCUGCCUGGAAGGUGGCAUCACAUGUCGACCGCAGGCAAAAUCCAUCACCCACCUGUAAUGGUCUCUAUUUUGAUCAGGGUCUUUUUACUUCCAUAGGCCAGCCUUCCCAAAAUUCCUUGAAGAAAUCCUCUGAAAGGGUGCCAUUUGCAAAUCUGGUCCAGAGUAAGAAGUUAGUAGCAGCUGCACUUGAUGAUUCCACAACUGGGCAAGUGAAUGAUAGAGUCAUCCUCCCUAACCAAGGGGAAGGCUUGCCAGUGAGUGCUGAUAGGUUGGAUAUUACUCUGGAAUUCCCAAAAGAGGAGAGUGAUGUCUUAGCUUUAUUUCCAUCCGUUAUAAACUUAUCAAUACAUGGGACUGAUCCAACACCAUCUUUAAGUAAGCAAACAGGAGAAGAUGGCUUUAAAAUUGGUCUGUUUAUGGCAGAGAAUCGUUUCAGGGAGGCAACAAGAAUUUGUGAAGAAGACGUCUCUGGAUGGGCAUCAUCUGCAUUCCCAACCAGCGAUGCAAGGUCUCGACCUGGAUCCAGGAUACAAUCCUCUGGAAAGCAGAAGUCUUCCAUAUCUGACUCUGCUAAGCCUUCUAGGUCAAAGUCUAAAAGAGCUUCAAUUGAUGUCAGUGAAAUGCAUCACCAUCAGGCUGACUCAAUAGUCCAGUCGGUGCCAUCACUUAAGGAUCUGAGAUUUGAUCUCACUUCAUUCACUACAGAUGAAAUUGGACUUACUGCUGUGGACACAUGUUUCCCCUUUGACUUGAAUGUGGAAAGUUCAUGGGAAAUGGAGGGUGUUGGAAUGAUCCCACAUGAUUAUGUUACUGGUUUAAUCUCAGACCUUGAUGAUUGUACAACAUUCCCUGAAUAUACUGACAUUAGAUAAGUGGAUCAAAUCAAGCCUGAAAUGCAGUUUUGAAUGACCUUUGGCGGACAGUGGCAUACUACUGGCAGGUUAGUCUUGAUCAGUUAAUGAAUUGCCGUUGGCUUACAAUCGAAUUGGAACGAUGCGUUUACAAUUCUCUCGUAGGCAUGCCAUUUCCGAUAUACAGACAAACAGUUCAGGGACAAGCAUGCUGAAGGUUUCCAAAUGAAAAACAUGGAGAUGUAGAAUGCACAAUAAUUUAAUUUCUUACUCGGAAUUAUGUAUUGGCUUGGGGAUUCAGCUCAAAUUUGACAGCGUCAAUCUCCCAUAGAUCGGUACUCAUGGAACGAUGUUAAGUGAUUCUAAGAUCCCAAUGUGCAAUCCAAGUUGACCAAUCAGAGUUUCAAACCAAAUGUUUCGCUUAUUAUGUGAUGACUCACGUGACGACCUGAAUUUGUUGGAACCAUUCUCUAAUGCAAACAGUAUUUUUUUGAACAGCAACCAGUCGAGAGUCUAUGUAAUUCAUUGUUCACACUGGAGAAAUCUGAUUGUUUCAUAUCAUAGCAACCAAGUUAGCUUAAUACCAGUCUUACGAUAGUUUAGUGCUUUACAUUUUAUAAUUUGAGCAACUCCACUUUUUCUGUAACCAAAAAAUAUCAUCAAAUAGGUCCCGCGAGUCACGCCACAUUUAUUUCUCAUCAAUCUUUGUCUUUAUUUUUAAAUUUUGUAUAAUCUUUAUAUGCAACGAAGCUCAUGCAAUGAUCGAUACGCUUGAAUCAA